rfam:Ixodes scapularis strain Wikel colony gcontig_1107728890226, whole genome shotgun sequence.
CACAUGGUCUCUUUCGAGACCACAGAUAAAAACAAGCAAACAUAU